rnacentral:rRNA from 1 species
UACAGAGGGGGCAAGCGUUGUUCGGAAUUACUGGGCGUAAAGGGCGCGUAGGCGGCCUUCUAAGUCGAACGUGAAAUCCCUGGGCUCAACCCAGGAACUGCGUCCGAUACUGGAAGGCUUGAAUCCGGGAGAGGGAUGCGGAAUUCCAGGUGUAGCGGUGAAAUGCGUAGAUAUCUGGAGGAACACCGGUGGCGAAGGCGGCAUCCUGGACCGGUAUUGACGCUGAGGCACGAAAGCGUGGGGAGCAAACAGG